GAGGUCCCCGCCCGGGACGGCGGAGGGGGGCGGCGGGCCCUUCUCUGACACCCUCGACGAGCGACCGCCGCAGGGGCCUAGGCCACCCCUGCCCACCUCGGCCUGGCCCGCUCGAAGGUUCCGCGUUCCCGCCUUGCGCCCCUCCCUCCCUCUAGGCUCCGCGCCACCCCGGCUGAGAGCUGGCUUCGGCUCUCUAGGGUCCCAGCCUGGCGGGUCUAUCCCACCCCCCUGGGCCUUCAGCCCAGGUCCUGGAGACCAGAGGCUCGAAAACCCCGCCAGGCCUCCGGGCUUCUGACCACGGGCCGCGCGGAACCUCUUCUGGACUCAUCUGUCAAUCACCUAACAGCAUAGACCCCCCCCAACAAUCCCCCGGGGCUUGGCGAUGAAACGGGCGGGCGGGCUCCCUGCAGACCCGAGCACUGCCGCACUUUUUCCUGGAGCUGGGUUUGGGACACUUGCCAGACUGGGGUGUCUCCCUUCUCUGGGCUACACGUAAUUUUGGUUCUUUUAAAGUAAACAGCGAGAUGGAAAUGUCUGGUCACCAAGAGACAGGGACCAGUUAACUGGUAUUUUUCAAAUGGCCCUUGAAUGAGUACACAAACCAGCUUUCAUCUGCAAUCAGCAUCCCCUCUCCCUGCUGCCCUCUGCUGGGGAGAGUUCUUUGCCUGGGGUCCAAGCCGAUCUGCAGCCUCAGUAUUUAGAGGCACUUCAGCGUUUCCCCUGCAGCUGAGCAGGCAAGGCGGGUCUGGGGCCUAGCGCACACCGGCAGUGUGUAUCAGGCAAGGGGGAACCCCAGGAGAGUAAGGCCUUUCUUUCUAACCAAGCUGGGCUGAUGUUGAGGCGACACGAGCUCUCACUGCUGCAGCAAGCACUGCGUCCUCUGUGCGGCCAUAGGCGAAGUUUCUUUCUGACAAAGUGCACGGAUCUAUCCUCCACCUACUAGUUAACCAGACUUCUGCUUUUGAAAUCAAAAGUGCGGAAGGUCCGCUGGGCCAGCUGAUAGCUAUGAGAAGAUGGAGAGCGUGUGAGAGUGGGGAGUGGGGCACCAGAGCCCCUCACCCCUCCACCCCAACAGAGGAGGCAGCCAAGCUCUGUGAACGCCUGGACAUACUGCAAACAUGGGAAGCGGGCUGGAGGAGCUCCGAGUGGGGGACAGGGCUUCAGAGAGCAUCAAUGUGACAGCAAGGCCAUGCAGCCUGCUUCCAGGCCCCGGGAACCAGGGGGUCCGCCACAGCCACUGAGGCUAGAAAGCCAUGCCACUUCUGGCUGCUUUUCCCUCUGCAUCCUGAAGUCUCCAGGAUCUCGUCAGGGAGUGUGUGCCCAGCCUGGCACAGGGGCGGCCAACGCCUCAGGCAGAACUCCCCGGAGGGUCCUGCGGCACAGGCUGAUAACUACAGUUGAAUAAAAAUGACAGAAACCA
rnacentral:antisense_RNA from 1 species